GACGAACGCUGGCGGCGUGCCUAAUACAUGCAAGUCGAGCGAACAGAUGAGGAGCUUGCUCCUCUGACGUUAGCGGCGGACGGGUGAGUAACACGUGGAUAACCUACCUAUAAGACUGGGAUAACUUCGGGAAACCGGAGCUAAUACCGGAUAAUAUAUUGAACCGCAUGGUUCAAUAGUGAAAGACGGUUUUGCUGUCACUUAUAGAUGGAUCCGCGCCGCAUUAGCUAGUUGGUAAGGUAACGGCUUACCAAGGCAACGAUGCGUAGCCGACCUGAGAGGGUGAUCGGCCACACUGGAACUGAGACACGGUCCAGACUCCUACGGGAGGCAGCAGUAGGGAAUCUUCCGCAAUGGGCGAAAGCCUGACGGAGCAACGCCGCGUGAGUGAUGAAGGUCUUCGGAUCGUAAAGCUCUGUUAUUAGGGAAGAACAAAUGUGUAAGUAACUAUGCACGUCUUGACGGUACCUAAUCAGAAAGCCACGGCUAACUACGUG
rnacentral:rRNA from 1 species